rnacentral:misc_RNA from 1 species
UCUCCGUUGGUGAACCAGCGGAGGGAUCAUUACCGAGUUUACAACUCCCAACCCCUGUGAACAUACCUCAGUUGCCUUGGCGGACGGUUCCGGGCUCGCCCCGGAACUAGGCCGCCGCCAGAGGCCAAAACCAUGUCUUCUAUAAGAAUUCUGAAUGAUUACAAAUAAUCAAAACUUUCAACAACGGAUCUCUUGGUUCCG